rnacentral:rRNA from 1 species
AUUGAACGCUGGCGGAAUGCUUUACACAUGCAAGUCGAACGGUAGAGGGGGCAACCCCUCGAGAGUGGCGAACGGGUGAGUAAUAUAUCGGAACGUGCCCAGUCGUGGGGGAUAACGUAGCGAACGUUACGCUAAUACCGCAUACGAUCUAAGGAUGAAAGCGGGGGAUCGCAAGACCUCGCGCGAUUGGAGCGGCCGAUAUCAGAUUAGGUAGGUGGUGGGGUAAAGGCUCACCAAGCCAACGAUCUGUAGCUGGUCUGAGAGGACGACCAGCCACACUGGAACUGAGACACGGUCCAGACUCCUACGGGAGGCGGCAGUGGGGAAUUUUGGACAAUGGACGCAAGUCUGAUCCAGCCAUUCCGCGUGCAGGAUGAAGACCCUCGGGUUGUAAACUGCUUUUGUACGGAACGAAAAGGUCUCUCUUAAUACGGGGGGCUCAUGACGGUACCGUAGAAUAAGCACCGGCUAACUACGUGCCAGCAGCCGCAGUAA